CAAACCCGGCCCGGCCUGGAGGAUGCCCAGGUUUAGCUGGGAACAAUCGCCGUCAGCCGCACGGCGAUACCGGGAGCCCCGUCGACUCCGGCGGCCGGAGGGCAACGCACGCGGGCCCGCACUCACGUCACGGCUCUCGCCACAGCUAAUCCGGCGAAGCUCUCCGCGGCCUAGGCCGCCAGAAGUUUACUAGGUGGCUGAUGGUCCAGGUUCAUGCCAAGGAAAUCCCAGCUUCUUGUGGUCAUCAAGUCAUGGUGCUGAUUUGGAGUAACGCUGAUAACUUCAGGUAAACGAUGUACAGCUACGCGUGGAGAGGGACAGAAAACACAACUUAGCAUCGAACAGAAUCAACACUAUGAGAUACAGUAAAAUGUAGGGUGAUGCAUCAGCCAUACCUUUUGAGACCCAUACCCUCUGCUUAUGCUUAUCAUAAGGCAUAAGCAGAGUAGGAGGUAAGCUGAAAAACGCCGAGGGGAAGAGUGGAAAUCCAUGUUGGUGUGGAAGCACAUGCUGAUAUGAUCCAACAACAGAAAGGAAGGUCAAAGAUACAGGCUCAGUUGGCAUGAAUCCAAUCUUUCGGCUAUCGACGCCAAUUUCCUCCCUGAAGUUUCCCUGGAACUAGCUCAGCUGAAACGCGUUGCGUUCCCCCCUGCUCCAGUAUUCUCCCAUUUCAAACCUGUAAUGUUGCACUUAUUUUCCCUCUCCUGAAGCAUGGUUUUUCAAUUUGUUCAUUCGCUUGUUAUGCAGAUAAAUAAAUAUAUCCUAUCAUCUUCCCUA